CCAAUAGCGUAUAUUAAAGUUGUUGCAGUUAAAAAGCUCGUAGUUGAAUUUCGGGGUCAGUAGGUUGGUCGUGCCACUGGUAUGCACUGAUCUCACUGAUUCCUCCUUCCUGAUGAGCCGUAAUGCCAUUAAUUUGGUGUUGCGGGGAAUCUGGACUGUUACUUUGAAAAAAUUAGAGUGUUUAAAGCAGGCUAACGCUUGAAUACAUUAGCAUGGAAUAAUGAAAUAGGACGAUCGAUCCUAUUUUGUUGGUUUCUAGGAUUGACGUAAUGAUUAAUAGGGAUAGUUGUGGGCAUUAGUAUUCAAUUGUCAGAGGUGAAAUUCUUGGAUUUAUUGAAGACUAACUACUGCGAAAGCAUUUGCCAAGGAUGUUUUCAUUAAUCAAGAACGAAAGUUAGGGGAUCGAAGACGAUCAGAUACCGUCGUAGUCUUAACCAUAAACUAUGCCGACUAGGGAUCGGAUGAUGUUAAUUUUUUAAUGACUCAUUCGGCGCCUUACG
rnacentral:rRNA from 1 species